rnacentral:rRNA from 1 species
CAGCCGCCACGGGAAUACGUAGGUGGCAAGCGUUGUCCGGAAUUAUUGGGCGUAAAGGGCUCGCAGGCGGUUUCUUAAGUCUGAUGUGAAAGCCCCCGGCUCAACCGGGGAGGGUCAUUGGAAACUGGGAAACUUGAGUGCGGAAGAGGAGAGUGGAAUUCCACGUGUAGCGGUGAAAUGCGUAGAGAUGUGGAGGAACACCAGUGGCGAAGGCGACUCUCUGGUCUGUAACUGACGCUGAGGAGCGAAAGCGUGGGGAGCGAACAGGAUUAGAUACCCGCGUAGUCCCUGUCUCUUAUAC